rnacentral:lncRNA from 1 species
GAUUUCCGCCCCUGGCUGUCACAACUUCCACCGAAGUCGGUUCCUCUCCUUGUUCGGGCGGAGUUCGGCAUCACUGGUCUUCUAGCCAUCGUCGAUCCACUUUUCAUUUGUCUGGUUUUCCUACACACCUGGUUCUCAUUUCCCUCAUUAAAUGUUGUGUAUUUAACCCUCUGUUCCCCCCAUGUCUUUGUGUGGAAUUGUUUGUUGUAAGUGCUUGUGCACAUGUUUACUGGUGCACGUUGGGUUUUGUACCCAUGUUGGUUAUUUCUUUAUGCCGUUGGUUUUCAAAAUUAAACUGCUCCGUUCUGCUCUCCUGCGUCUGACUUCACUGCCACCAGUUACGCACCCCUUACAUGGGCACACUUAUGCAUAUGUUUUUGUCCUGCCCUGAACUAAGCAAUUAUUGGAAAGACAUUAUUCAGAUCUUAUCACAGGUCACUAAUAUGACGGUAGCACUAGAUCCUUCCCUUAUUCUUCUUGGAGAUGAUUCUGUUCUACCAGUUAAUAUUUGUAUCAAAACCAGAUUCAUUAAAUUGGCAGUCAUUGCAGCCAGUAAAUGCACAGCUAUUAUAUGGAAGUGUCACGCCUUCAGCGGAGGUCUGCAGCCCAGAGCCUUCAGCGGAGGUCUGCAGCCCAGAGCCUUCAGCGGAGGUCUGCAGCCCAGAGCCUCCAGCGGCGGCUUGGAGGUCGGAACCUCCAGCAGUGGUCUACAGCACAGUGAUUCCGGUAAGGAUCUACAGUCCGAUUCCUCCAAUCAUGAUCCAUAGGCCUAUGUUACAGAAGCGGAGGGAUCUGCGGGCGGAAUGAAGGUUACGCCCUGAGCCAGAGCUACCUCCGAAGCUGGAGGAUCGGGAGAAGAGGAGGGUUCUGGGUGGAGCACAUGAGCCGCCAUAGACUGUUGUCACCCUCCCUGCCCUCCCUUUCUGUUUGGGGUUGUUGUUGUUGGGUUUUUUGGUUUGGGUGCAGUCAGAGUCUGCACCUUUGGGGGGGUACUGUCACGUCCUGACCCUGGUAUGAGGUAAUUUAUCCCUAGUAGAUUGGUCAGGGUGUGACAGGGGGGUGUUUUGUCUAUGUGUUUUGGGUUUUCUGUUUUCUAUGUGGAUUGUCUAGAGUUUCAUUCUAUGUUGUCAUUUUCUAUGUUGUGGCCAGGUAUGGUUUCCAAUCAGAGUCAGCUGUCUAUCGUUGUCUCUGAUUGGAAGCCAUACUUAGGCAGCCUGUUUUCCUUUGGGGUUUGUGGGUAGUUGUUUCCGUUUAGUCUAGAGUACCUGACGGGACUGUUGGUCGUUUUAUUGUUUUGUUGUUGAAGUGUUUUUAUUAAAAAUCAAAGAAUGAGCACUAUACACGCUGCGCCUUGGUCUCCAUUCAACGACCCCUGUGACAGGAAGUGUGACACUCCGCCAAGCAAGCAGAUGUGGCUAAAAUAACUAUCUUUCUAUAUUCCAUCUGAAAGAAUAACAUACAAUUUACGUAAUAAACCCUUUGAAUUUACUGACGUCUGGGGGACUUUCAGCAGUUUCUAGAGACGUCACCUUAGCUGCAUCAUUACUACUUUCUUCAUUAAUGUAUUAUUAUUUGUUUUUAUGUUGAAUCAUUUAUUUUCUAGCAUGGAAUGUGAAAGUCAUUCUGUUUCUUUUUUUGUUGUUAAUCAGUGAAGCUAAUACCGGCAGAGGGGAGGGAGGGGGGUGUUCCUGUGUUGGGGAGGGAAGGGUUUUGCACGAUGUCCACCCAUGUAGCAUGGUGUUUUGUGCAGGUGGAAGGAAUAACUGGGCAUUAUCUGUGUCAUAUUUUGAUGAUUGUUAAAUAAAAAAAGAAAAAAAAGAAAUGCCAAUAAAUAUAUUGUAAAAAAAUGUUUUUGUCGUUUUCCCACCACUGGUUAUUUACGUUUUAGUCAUUUAGCAUACGGUCACACUGGUCACCCGUGGGAAUCGCACCCACAACCCUGGUGACGAAAGCACACUGUGCUUCAUCAAAUAGCAGAACCAAAUUACCUGGUUUGAAGUUGAGAUUACAUUAAAAGUACAUGCUGCAAGUGAUCAAUGCCGUUCGAGAUUCUACAGACUACAGCAAUUGUGAAUAUCUCCACAGAUCCGCCACAACAUACAGUAUGCAUGCUAUCUUGAACAUGUACGCUUUAUAUGAUUAACGUUACAUACGAAUAAAUGUAUACUUACAGAAACCUUAAAAUGUGGCCAUGGAUCUGUUACUUAUUUUAAGGUUGAAUAAAUAUUGUUACAUUAGUUUGUAAGAUAACUUUAGGCUAUUUACUGUAUUACAAAAGUAAUAUUGAAUUGUGUUUAGUGGACAACGCAACCAAAUAUCAACAUUUAAAGGAUAUAUUAACUGCUUGGAUAGUUCAAUCUAAGGCACUGGCUUAAUUCCAUUCUUUAACUUUUAUUUUUGGUUGAGUUGGAGACGCGAAGCCAACAUCUAAUUUAUUAACAUGUUUUGUCAACAAAUUAACAGGCUAUUUAUUGUAUUUCAAAAAUGAUAUUGAAAUGUGUUUGGUCGACAACAUCAAUUUAGGCAUCAGGCAUGUCACUUCCCCCAUUGGCUGACCGUGCUAAUACCGAAUGGGACCAAACAAUUGUGGGUUUAGCGUUGACUCAAAACGAAUGCACGACAACAAAACACACACAACUACUACUAUUAUAAUAUAGAAGUAAAAAUACCUGUAGCUAUGUUCCUAUUUGGACAUAAUCAAAAACAUUGACACCACAGCGUUUCUCGUUCUAAGAUGAGCUAUACUAAAUAGAUAAUUGUGAUUUUCAGAUUUAUUUGAG